AUGCCCAACGCGUCGUGCAAAAACGCUUCCACGCUCCCUGGGUUUGCACGAAGUUAUGAAUUUACUGCCGACGUCUGCGCAAUGGAGACAAAGCCAGGCAGUCUCGUGUAUUAGUCUUCUCAUGUGUUCUCUUUACGGGAAAAACACUGCAGCUUUCAUCACAUAUGCAACAGAUGCACCAUCUUCUGAAGUCCUAUCGCAUGUGUCGUUUGCCCACACUUUGAGCUUGUUGGGGAAGUGAAUGCUGAGGUCAUCUUCACAUUCCUGGAUCUCAGAUGUCAACCACAUCAUGUACCCUGGUGUCAAACUUACAAAGUGAAGCACAAGAGCUGAAAGCCAGCAGAACAGUAAUCAAGGCCACAGUUGGAAAAAAAAAUAUGGAGC